rnacentral:lncRNA from 1 species
GCAGAGAUAUAACAAGUGUGUACACUAAUUUGUUUUUCUUCACUACAUCCAAAUUAGCAUUAAAAUUGAUGUAUUCAUAAAACCCUAAGUUGACACCAAAAAUGUCAUAUCCACAAUAACUUGUCCAUAUAAAAGUCACAGUUACAGGAAUGAAUAUAUGUUCUUAAAACACUUGUUCUAUUGUAUGGUUUGUAUGGAUAUGAAAAUCGAUUCAUAAAAAAAUUGAUGGACACAAAAAUCACAAAAUACGUUGUCCAAAUGAACAAUACCAAAUGGAUACUCUAAUAUGCUUAAAACCGGAAGAAAAAUAAUUAAUGGAAAUAUACACUUAAAAUAUAUCAAAGUGGAUCUUAAAAUGUAGAAAAAAAAAUUAUAAUCGGUUGUGUCAAAAAAAUAUACAUUAAUUUUUACUUAAAAUUUUCUUUUGUUAUAUUUGUUUCACUAACCAAACUUCUAUAAUCUCUUUCAAUUACUUUGGUUUCCGCGCUCAACAUAAGCAAUAGGAUCUAAAUUCUCUCUUUGAAAUCCAACGGUCUUUAUCAAAGCUAAUAAAACUAAAAUCUAGCUACACUUUUUUAUUUUGAACGAUUUAUUACAGCCACAUGAUCGUUUUAUUUAGUUACAAUCCAACGGUUUUAAACCUAUCAACAUUUCACCAUUUGUUUUUUCUCUCACUAUCUUAAAUAAGGGCAAAAUCGUCAAAAAAAAUCAAAAAGCUAGCAAAUAAAGCUCAAAAGUACACCAUCGAUUCAAAAUAUGUCUA